UACCCUUGACAUGCCAGGAAUCCUGCAGAGAUGUGGGAGUGCUCGCAAGAGAGCCUGGACACAGGUGCUGCAUGGCUGUCGUCAGCUCGUGUCGUGAGAUGUUGGGUUAAGUCCCGCAACGAGCGCAACCCUUGCCAUUAGUUGCUACGAAAGGGCACUCUAAUGGGACUGCCGGUGACAAACCGGAGGAAGGUGGGGAUGACGUCAAGUCCUCAUGGCCCUUA
rnacentral:rRNA from 1 species